rnacentral:lncRNA from 1 species
CAGUCAUUUCAUUACCUUCACAACAAUGUGAUCCAGCAUUUGAUGCGGCUGAAAUUUUUAGACCCUACAUUUCACAUUUUGGUAAGGAUUUCAGGGCAUUUUCAAUUGAGAGAAGAAAACUAAAGCCCGGAGAAGGAAGACAAAUGUAAGAUAAUUUGAAUCUGCUGACUCAUCAGUGCAUGAAGUGGUUCCUUGGUGGAGAGGGAAGAAGAUUGGGUUUACAGGGGAAGGAAGGAUGGAAUCCUGGCCUUCACAUUUCAAGUUUCUAGAACAGGCAUUCACAAAAGAGUGAGAAGCAGAAAAGGCAUAAAAGAAGACCAUCUGAGCAAGAAGAAAGCCAUCCUACUGGCUUAUUUCAUAAGCAAUGCACAACAUCUGGAGAAGUGGUGGCAUCAUCGGAACAGCCCUAUUAACAGAAGAUAGGAACCCAAGGAGGUGAAGGUGGAAUAGACAAGAUCACCAGAGAAAGAGAGUCAGAACUUCAUGUGAGAUCAAGGGAUGGAGCAGGAGACAAGAAGCACACCUUAAACUCAAAUCGAGAAAAAUAUUUCCUAUAGAAGAAACUCAUAAACUCCAUAUUCUCUUGACAAUCCAUCUGGGCCACCCACCUGAUCAUGAUUGCCUACACAGUGGCAGAAUGAUGGCAUUUAGAAGCCCCCCGUACAUAGUUGUAUAUUCUUCAUUGUGGGUCCUUCUAGUUGUGGCAUGUGGGAUGUUGCCUCAGCGUGGUUUGAUGAGCAGUGCCAUGUCCGCGCCCAGGAUUCGAACCAACGAAACACUGGGCCGCCUGCAGUGGAGCUUGCGAACUUAACCACUCGGCCAUGGGGACAGCCCCUCAACCCUUUUAUUUUAACAAUUUCACCUGAUGAGUGAGAUGGUUGUCUUCAGAGCCAUGCAGUCAUUUGUGUCAAAAAUAGGAAUAGUUUUCAAAUUCUUAUUCCCAGUCAAGAACCACCUACCACACCACUG